GACGAACGCUGGCGGCGUGCCUAACACAUGCAAGUCGAACGGGGCCAGGGGGCAACUCUGGUUCAGUGGCGGACGGGUGCGUAACACGUGAGGAACAUGACCUUCGGCGGGGGAGUAGCCGGCCCAACGGCCGGGUAAUACCGCGUACGACCACAUGGGGACAUCCCUGAGUGGUGAAAGCAGCAAUGCGCCGAUGGAGUGCCUCGCGGCCUAUCAGCUAGUUGGUGAGGUAACGGCUCACCGAGGCAACGACGGGUAGCUGGUCUGAGAGGAUGGCCG
rnacentral:rRNA from 1 species